GUAAAAGCUAACUCCUCUGUCUGUUUGACUACUGUUGACUCUUCCUAUCAAGUUCCCAGAAUGAAAUGCCCUGCUCAGCUUCUGGGGCUGCUUGUGCUUUGGAUCCCUGGGCUUGUAAGGAUGAAAUGGUGAAGAGACAAAACCCCAUGUUUCUGUUGCAACUCUGACAAGUUCCAAAGCCAAAAGGCCAGGAGCCACUGGGGAAAUUGUGAUGACCCAGGCUGCAGUCUCCAAUCCUAUCACUCUUGGAGAGUCAGUUUCCAUCUCGUGCAGUUCUAAUAAGAGUCUCCUACACAGUAAU